rnacentral:rRNA from 1 species
UACAGAGGGGGCAAGCGUUGUUCGGAAUUACUGGGCGUAAAGGGCGCGUAGGCGGCCGGUUAAGUCGAACGUGAAAUCCCCGGGCUCAACCCGGGAACUGCGUCCGAUACUGGCAGGCUUGAAUUCGGGAGAGGGAUGCGGAAUUCCAGGUGUAGCGGUGAAAUGCGUAGAUAUCACGCAGAACACCGAUUGCGAAGGCAGGUGACUGGGGCGCGACUGACGCUGAGGCACGAAAGUGUGGGGAGCAAACAGG